rnacentral:lncRNA from 1 species
AUCUGAGAUACUGAUUAAAGUGCAGCUUUCUGGGAUGUCCCCUCCAAGGAUCCCUGCACUUGUCACAAUGUCCCAGGCAAUCUUGCGGUGCACUGACACUUGAGAUUCACCCCUCUGCAAGCUAGUCUACAUUCAUUGGUGCAGGAUUCAAGGCCCUUCGGAUCUAGCCCCUGCCAACGUUUCCAGCCUGAUACUCCCUACCUCACACCAUACCCUCCACUGACACCACAGCAUGUGCCCCUCCCUCCUGCCCCACACUAUCCUGUACCUCUGCUGUUCCCUCUGCUUCCCUGUCCCCCAGGCUGGUGAACAUGCCUAUUUUGGGCCAAAUUGUGUCUCCCCCACCCCUGCAAAUUCAUAUGUUGAAGCCCUGGCUCCCCAGUACCUCAGAAUGUGACUGUAUUUGGAGAGAGGGCCUUUAAAGAGGUGAUUUAACUUAACAUGAGGCCAAUUAGGGUGGGCUCUGAUCCAAUCUGAUUAAUGUUCUUAUCAGAAGAGGAAAUUUGGACACACAGAAACACCAGAGCAGAGGGAAGACCUUGUGAAGACACAGGGAGAAUGUGGCCAUCUUCGAGUUAAGCCGUGGUGUUUUGUUACAGCAGCUAGCCGAGCUGAUGCACAGAGAGCACCUCCCUGCAGGGCAGCAGCUGUGCCUGCCC